rnacentral:rRNA from 1 species
CAGAGUUUGAUCAUGGUCAGGAUGAACGCUAGCUACAGGCUUAACACAUGCAAGUCGAGGGGAAACGACAUCGAAAGCUUGCUUUUGAUGGGCGUCGACCGGCGCACGGGUGAGUAACGCGUAUCCAACCUGCCCACCACUUGGGGAUAACCUUGCGAAAGUAAGACUAAUACCCAAUGACGUCUCUAGAAGACAUCUGAAAGAGAUUAAAGAUUUAUCGGUGAUGGAUGGGGAUGCGUCUGAUUAGCUUGUUGGCGGGGUAACGGCCACCAAGGCGACGAUCAGUAGGGGUUUUGAGAGGAAGGUCCCCCACAUUGGAACUGAGACACGGUCCAAACUCCUACGGAGGCA